GUUCUUAUAGUUGAACACAACAUUGGCUUUUCGAGCCAGAGGGCCUGGUUAGACUCCAGGUAGGAAUA
rnacentral:tRNA from 1 species